UCCCCAGACUCCUACGGGAGGCAGCAGUGGGGAAUAUUGCACAAUGGGCGAAAGCCUGAUGCAGCAACGCCGCGUGAAGGAAGAAGGGUUUCGGCUCGUAAACUUCUAUCAACAGGGACGAAAGAAAUGACGGUACCUGACCAAGAAGCCCCGGCUAACUACGUGCCAGCAGCCGCGGUAAUACGUAGGGGGCAAGCGUUAUCCGGAUUUACUGGGGGGAAAGGGGGCGCAGACGGCAAUGCAAGCCAGGAGUGAAAGCCCGGGGCCCAACCCCGGGACUGCUCUUGGAACUGCAUGGCUGGAGUACAGGAGGGGCAGGCGGAAUUCCUAGUGUAGCGGUGAAAUGCGUAGAUAUUAGGAGGAACACCGGUGGCGAAGGCGGCCUGCUGGACUGUGACUGACGUUGAGGCCCGAAGGCGUGGGGAGCAAACAGGAUUAGAUACCCCAGUA
rnacentral:rRNA from 1 species